UACGUAGGUGGCAAGCGUUGUCCGGAUUUACUGGGCGUAAAGAGCGCGCAGGCGGUCGUUCAAGUCGCGUGUGAAAGCCCCCGGCUCAACUGGGGAGGGUCACGCGAUACUGAUCGACUCGAAGGCAGGAGAGGGAAGUGGAAUUCCCGGUGUAGCGGUGAAAUGCGCAGAUAUCGGGAGGAACACCAAUGGCGAAGGCAGCUCGCUGGGACGUUACUGACGCUGAGACGCGAAAGCGUGGGGAGCAAACAGGG
rnacentral:rRNA from 1 species